rnacentral:rRNA from 1 species
UGCAGUCGACGGAAGGCCCGCUUGCGGGUACUCGAGUGGCGAACGGGUGAGUAACACGUGGGCAACCUGCCCUCAGCUUUGGGAUAACUCCCGGAAACGGGUGCUAAUACCGGAUAUUGACUUUUCCCCGCAUGGGGUUUGGUUGAAAGUUUUUUCGGCUGAGGAUGGGCCCGCGGCCUAUCAGCUUGUUGGUGGGGUAAUGGCCUACCAAGGCGACGACGGGUAGCCGGCCUGAGAGGGCGACCGGCCACACUGGAACUGAGACACGGUCCAGACUCCUACGGGAGGCAGCAGUGGGGAAUAUUGCGCAAUGGGCGGAAGCCUGACGCAGCGACGCCGCGUGAGGGAUGACGGCCUUCGGGUUGUAAACCUCUUUCAGCAGGGACGAAGAGUGAUUGACGGUACCUGCAGAAGAAGCACCGGCCAACUACGUGCCAGCAGCCGCGGUAAUACGUAGGGUGCAAGCGUUGUCCGGAAUUAUUGGGCGUAAAGAGCUCGUAGGCGGUCUGUCGCGUCGAAUGUGAAAAUCCGGGGCUCAACUCCGGACCUGCAUUCGAUACGGGCAGACUAGAGUUCGGUAGGGGAGACUGGAAUUCCUGGUGUAGCGGUGAAAUGCGCAGAUAUCAGGAGGAACACCGGUGGCGAAGGCGGGUCUCUGGGCCGAUACUGACGCUGAGGAGCGAAAGCGUGGGGAGCGAACAGGAUUAGAUACCCUGGUAGUCCACGCCGUAAACGGUGGGCGCUAGGUGUGGGGGUCCUUCCACGACCUCUGUGCCGCAGCUAACGCAUUAAGCGCCCCGCCUGGGGAGUACGGCCGCAAGGCUAAAACUCAAAGGAAUUGACGGGGGCCCGCACAAGCGGCGGAGCAUGCUGAUUAAUUCGAUGCAACGCGAAGAAACCUUACCAAGGCUUUGACAUGUACAGGAAAGUUCCC